AUCAUUCACAAUGGACGAAAGUCUGAUGGUGCAACGCCGCGUGGAGGAUGAAGGCCCUAGGGUCGUAAACUCCUGUCAUAUGAGAGUAAGGCAUAUGUGUUAAUAGCAUGUAUGUUUGAUAGUAUCAUAAGAGGAAGGGACGGCUAACUUCGUGCCAGCAGCCGCGGUAAUACGAAGGUCCCGAGCGUUGUUCGGAAUCACUGGGCGUAAAGGGAGCGUAGGCGGCAUGGUAAGUCAGAUGUGAAAUCCCGGGGCUCAACCCCGGAACUGCAUCCGAUACUGCCUUGCUAGAGUAAUGGAGGGGUAACUGGAAUUCUCGGUGUAGCAGUGAAAUGCGUAGAUAUCGAGAGGAAGACCAACGGCGAAGGCAGGUUACUGGACAUUUACUGACGCUGAGGCUCGAAGGCCAGGGGAGCGAAAGGGAUUAGAUACCCCUGUAGUCCUGGCAGUAAACGGUGUGCGCUUGGUGUAGGUGGGUUCGACCCCAUCUGUGCCGGAGCUAACGCGUUAAGCGCACCGCCUGGGGAGUACGGUCGCAAGACUAAAACUCAAAGAAAUUGACGGGGACCCGCACAAGCGGUGGAGUAUGUGGCUUAAUUCGAUGCAACGCGAAGAACCUUACCUGGGCUUGACAUGCAUUGCUAAUUCGGUGAAAGCCGAUGAGUCUUCGGACGCCUUGCACAGGUGCUGCAUGGCCGUCGUCAGCUCGUGUCGUGAGAUGUUCGGUUAAGUCCGGCAACGAGCGCAACCCCUGUGGUUAGUUACUAACAUUAAGUUGAGGACUCUAGCCAGACUGCCCAGAUCAACUGGGAGGAAGGUGGGGAUGACGUCAGGUCAGUAUGGCCCUUACGCCCAGGGCUGCACACGUACUACAAUGCCCAGUACAAUGAGAACCGAGACCGCGAGGUGGAGGAAAUCUACAAAACUGGGCUCAGUUCGGAUUGGAGGCUGCAACUCGCCUCCAUGAAGUUGGAAUCGCUAGUAAUGGCACAUCAGCUACGGUGCCGUGAAUACGUUCCCGGGUCUUGUACACACCGCCCGUCACAUCAUGGAAGCCGAUCGCACCCGAAGUGCCUGCGUCAACAUUGGCAGGGCCCUAAGGUGUAGUUGGUAACUGGGAUGAAGUCGUAACAAGGUAGCCGUAGGGGAACCUGCGGCUGGAUCACCUCCUUU
rnacentral:ncRNA from 1 species